rnacentral:rRNA from 1 species
UAACACGAACCGUACGAACGUUAUUCGGAAUUACUGGGCUUAAAGGGUUUGUAGGCGGCCUUGUAAGUCAGGUGUGAAAGCCCUCGGCUCAACCGAGGAACAGCGCUUGAUACUGCAAGGCUUGAGGGAGACAGGGGUAAGCGGAACUGAUGGUGGAGCGGUGAAAUGCGUUGAUAUCAUCAGGAACACCGGUGGCGAAAGCGGCUUACUGGGUCUCUUCUGACGCUGAGGAACGAAAGCUAGGGUAGCGAACGGG